GACGAACGCUGGCGGCGUGCUUAAUACAUGCAAGUCGAACGAGAUCCAUCCAGUGGCAACACUGGUGAAGAUCGAGUGGCGAACGGGUGCGUAACACGUGAGGAACCUGCCCCGGACUCUGGAAUAACAGUGGGAAACCACUGCUAAUACCGGAUGUCUCCACCAUCUCGCAUGGAAUGGUGAAGAAAGAUUUAUCGGUUCGGGAGGGUCUCGCGGCCUAUCAGCUUGUUGGUGAGGUAACGGCUCACCAAGGCUUCGACGGGUAGCUGGUCUGAGAGGAUGAUCAGCCACACUGGGACUGAGACACGGCCCAGACUCCUACGGGAGGCAGCAGUAGGGAAUCUUGCGCAAUGGGCGAAAGCCUGACGCAGCAACGCCGCGUGGGGGAUGAAGGCCCUCGGGUUGUAAACCCCUUUCAGCAGGAACGAAUCUGACGGUACCUGCAGAAGAAGGCCCGGCCAACUACGUGCCAGCAGCCGCAG
rnacentral:rRNA from 1 species